AGGGUCUUUCACUUCGAUAACCCUAUUUGACCGAGCUGUUCGUCUGGGAAAGGUGAAAGUCUGUUGAAAGUCGAAGACAGCCUUCAAGAAAUGCGACUACUUGUUGGAAAGGACGAGCAACUGAAGACAUGACACGGUUGAGAUAUUUUAGCCAUGUUUGAAAGCGGCAGGUUAAAUACAGAAAAAUCGUCGAUGACAUAAAGAUACAUGUCGAGCGUACGGACAGUGAAAGAACGCGAACCCUGGCAGUGGUGGGUGCUUACAAUUGUUUGUUUCCAUCAAACAAAUAACUUCUUCUUCAGUCUUUUUUUAGGUACAAGAGAUGAAGAUCAAGAAGAAGAUAGAGGAGUACGUUAUUAUUUUUUCCUGUCCUAAUCUUAACUUGUUUUUAGAUUUUUCGUUUAGAUGAGGAGGAGGCUGAUGAAAA